UGGGGAAUAUUGCACAAUGGGCGCAAGCCUGAUGCAGCGACGCCGCGUGAGGGAUGGAGGCCUUCGGGUUGUAAACCUCUUUUAUCAGGGAGCAAGGCUUCGGUUGAGUGUACCUGUUGAAUAAGCACCGGCUAACUACGUGCCAGCAGCCGCGGUAAUACGUAGGGUGCAAGCGUUAUCCGGAAUUAUUGGGCGUAAAGGGCUCGUAGGCGGUUCGUCGCGUCCGGUGUGAAAGUCCAUCGCGUAACGGUGGAUCCGCGCCGGGUACGGGCGGGCUUGAGUGCGGUAGGGGAGACUGGAAUUCCCGGUGUAACGGUGGAAUGUGUAGAUAUCGGGAAGAACACCAAUGGCGAAGGCAGGUCUCUGGGCCGUUACUGACGCUGAGGAGCGAAAGCGUGGGGAGCGAACA
rnacentral:rRNA from 1 species